UACGUAGGGCGCAAGCGUUGUCCGGAAUUAUUGGGCGUAAAGAGCUCGUAGGCGGUUUGUCGCGUCUGCUGUGAAAACGCGAGGCUCAACCUCGCGCCUGCAGUGGGUACGGGCAGACUAGAGUGCGGUAGGGGGAGAUUGGAAUUCCUGGUGUAGCGGUGGAAUGCGCAGAUAUCAGGAGGAACACCGGUGGCGAAGGCGGGUCUCUGGGCCGAUACUGACGCUGAGGAGCGAAAGCGUGGGGGAGCGAACAGG
rnacentral:rRNA from 1 species